AUUGAACGCUGGCGGCAUGCCUUACACAUGCAAGUCGAACGGCAGCACGGGAGCAAUCCUGGUGGCGAGUGGCGAACGGGUGAGUAAAGUAUCGGAACGUGCCCAGCCGUGGGGGAUAACGUAGCGAAAGUUACGCUAAUACCGCAUACGAUAUAUGGAUGAACGCGGGGGAUCGCAAGACCUCGCGCGAUUGAAGCGGCCGAGAUCAGAUUAGGUAGUUGGUGGGGUAAAGGCUCACCAAGCCGACGAUCUGUAGCUGGUCUGAGAGGACGACCGGCCACACUGGGACUGAGACACGGCCCAGACUCCUACGGGAGGCAGCAGUAGGGAAUUUUGGACAAUGGGCGAAAGCCUGAUCCAGCCAUGCCGCGUGCAGGAUGAGGGCCUUCGGGUUGUAAACUGCUUUUGUACGGAACGAAAAGGUUUGGGCUAAUAAGCUGGGCUCAUGACGGUACCGUAAGAAUAAGCACCGGCUAACUACGUGCCAGCCGCCGCGGUAA
rnacentral:rRNA from 1 species